rnacentral:rRNA from 1 species
AUUGAACGCUGGCGGCAGGCCUAACACAUGCAAGUCGAGCGGAGCGGCGGACGGGUGAGUAAUGCCUAGGAAUCUGCCUGGUAGUGGGGGAUAACGUCCGGAAACGGGCGCUAAUACCGCAUACUAUCAGAUGAGCCUAGGUCGGAUUAGCUAGUUGGUGGGGUAAAGGCCUACCAAGGCGACGAUCCGUAACUGGUCGGAGAGGAUGAUCAGUCACACUGGAACUGAGACACGGUCCAGAGUCCUACGGGAGGCAGCAGUGGGGAAUAUUGGACAAUGGGCGAAAGCCUGAUCCAGCCAUGCCGCGUGUGUGAAGAAGGCCUUCGGGUUGUAAAGUACUUUCAGCGGGGAGGCGUUACCAGCAGAAGAAGCACCGGCUAACUCCGUGCCAGCAGCCGCGGUAAUUC